GUCUAUAAUAUGUUUUUCUCACAAUUUUAAGCCAUGUCUUUACACUAUCGUCGCUGGGCUUCUAAAAUGUCGUAUAUGACUUUUUUGGCUAAAAAUACUUUUUGACACCAAUGGUCUGGCCACUUCAAACGAAAAAAAAAAUGCCUGGACCUUGUAACUGCAUUGAUAGUAAGUAACUUACAUGUAUAAAAUAGACAAUCUAACGUGAACUAUAAUGUGUGAUGAUAAUUUUAAACAAACAUUGUGACGGCACAUGUCUAAAAAAAUGUUGAAGUGUGCAUUAAGGUUAUUAUAACAUGUAUACAUAAAUUAAAGAUUCUCCUCAAAUUUAUGUAUAAGUGAAAGUUAAAAGCUUAGAGUAAUCACUAACAUGUCUUCUUUUAUCAAACGAUGGCAGGGAAUAGGAGUGGUACGCCCUCUAAGACCCUUUAACACGUCACUGAAUAAAGUAUUCAUUUUCAUAAUGUACUAUUGAUGGUAUUGACUAAGGCAUCUAUAAUGACUGAGCCGUAGCCGAGGUCACUAUUGCUGUCACAGGCAAUACCACUGUCCUACGGGAAGCCCAUAUAUCCCGAUAAUGAAAAUAACUUCAAUAACAAUUAUAUUUAUUUCAUUGAGGAACCAUGUUUUUAAAAGUACUAAUAAUUCAAAAUGGUUAGAGUUAACUUGAGAUAUGACUUACGAUUUCUGUAAGAAAGAGUGAAGAUUAGUCAUAGUGAUAACUAUAAGCCACUGCCAUUUAUUUAAGUGCAUGUUUUCUGUAUACGAAAACAAAAAAAGUUUUUUAAAAUUUCAUGAUCAACGAAAACAUAUGUUAAACAAUUCAAUUUCAAUAUAAAAUUGACAAUCUAAACAGAGAAACCACGACCCACUGGUCAUUAACAUGUAAAUUUCUGUUAAUGACCGGUUUCUGUUUUUUCUGUUAAAGACCGUUGGACAUUUUAUUUUAGAGAAUACAGAAUGUCAUUGUUAUCCAAGAAGAGAAGCUUAUUCUUAACCGAUAUGAAAUAAUGGGCAUGCACUGUAACUACAUAAUAGUAAUUGAAAAACUGGACACUAUCGUAAUUACCUCAUAAAUAAGAGAAAAGAGCCUCUUUUUUUCCAACUUAUUACGCCUUAUUCAAACUCAUCAUUCGACAAUAAAAUCAAGAACAAAAAGAUACCUGUUAUCUAAAUCAUCUUUGGAGGUUGGUACUUUUGGUAUAAAUGGGCGAUUUAUUCAAAGAAGGGAUGAAAUUGUUCUUUUAAAGCCCCAACCGAGUGUCACCAUUGACAGAAUGAACGUACGUACGUCCCAACAUUGGUUUCCGCAUACUAACUUUAGUUUGCCUCAACCAAAUAUUAAAAAAUCAUUUACACAAUGCCUCUAUAAUUAUUACCACAGAACACAGAUCAAGUUUAAAUGUGAUCUAGCGUCACUUUUAACUCUUCAGAAUUAGUCUCCUUUACAAAUGGUAAAAUAGUUGAACAAUAUCAGUACCAAAGGAGAGAUAACGACGCGUACUAGAAAUUAUAGCAUGUAUGUUGUCAGUAAGUUAGGUAUUUGUUGUCCGUUUUUAAAUGUCAUCGUGACAAAGUUUAACAUAGCUGACUUAUUCCUAAAUAUGUAUGGAAACUUGUCGGAAACUAUGAAUUUAUAUUUGUGUAGUUUCAAAAGACAGUUAAUCAUUCAAACAUUAAUUUUCGAAUACAAAAUACCAGUACUCUAUGAUAGGGGCUUAAGAUACAAGAGGGACAGUUAAACUCAUUGAUAAAAAAAUAAACUGACAACGUCAUGGCUAAAAAAUAAAAAGACAAACAGGUAAAUAAUAGUAAACAAGACAAAACAUAGAAAACUAAAGACUAAGAGACACGAACGCCACCAAAAACUGGGUGUGAUCUCAGGUGCUCCGACAGAGUAACCUACUUCACAUGUGGCACCCCUCGUGUUGCUGAUGUUAUUACAAACCUGGUAAAUUGUCUAAUUCGGGAGGUCACAUUCGUGGUGAAAAGGGAAAUUGAUUGUAGUUACGACAUAAGGAACAUAUUCGAUAUCAUCCUUGAAACGGUUAUUCAAUAACGGUCAACCAACUCGUGAUGUCGUCCAUAAAAUUAACGAAAGUAUGAUUUCAACUUCACCAUUGGAACUCUUGUUUAAUAGCUUCCUUGUGAGUAGCAACCUCUAUCAAGGAAAUAAUAAUUGGAAUUAAAAGCCUGGGUCUAUCGUAUCAAUUGUGGAAUACAUGUUGUAUAUACUCCGUAAAUCAGGUUUCGAAUUGUCUGGUUGAUUUGGUAAGAGGUUUUUGGAAAAUGGUUAAAUUUGUUCUUUUCAAAAUAUAAUAACGAGAUUGACCUGCAGUUUUCGAAAACCAAUUUAACAUUAUAGAUAACCAUGGUCUUGCAAAAAUUACAUUUUAAAAUCUAAUAAAUAAAUUGUAAGUUUUUUCCUACACUACAAAACAAUGUGGAUCAUUACACUGUCAAGCCUCUUUUUGUCAAGAAGAGGUAUUGUAGUGUGCUGAGGUAGUGUGUUGUAAUCUAUAUUACUAUAAAACAAAGAACUAUGUCAACAGUGAAAAACAAAAUGGCAUAUAGACAAAGUAAAUUAGCAUAAUUGAAAGACAAGAAUACAAAAAAACGAAUACUGGACACAAUAUGUUAGCGGGAUGCAUAAGUACCCAGACAAGCCAAAAGGAAAUUUUAAAACAAAAUAAUGUAAAACAGUAAAGGAUAAUAAAGAUAAAUAAAAGAACACUAUACUAAUAACACGUAAAUAUGAUGAUAGACAAUUUCAGUACCUAGAAUUUAUAUUUCAAGACCACCACGUAUUCUUUGUAAAGUUGAUACGCAAUAAUUAUCAUCAAGGUAUGGGUAUCUUCUGAUGAACUUGAAAAAUGGACGAGACGCUAUGAUCAAAUUAAAAUAUAACAACUUCUAAAUAUAAAAAAGGCGGACAUGUUCAUUUCGCCUGAAUAGUCAUACAUAAGAAUUAAUUACUUUAAUCAGUAACAUUCCCGAAUUGUUCAUGUUAGAUAUUAAAACCAACUUCUUAUUAUAACAUUUUACUUUAAACUAUAGUAUAAGCCGGAAAGUCAAUAUCAUAUCUUUCAAUUAAAGUUUUUUUUUCGAAAAAAGUAUGAAAUGUUAUAAAGAAUUAAAAUAUUAGAACUCUAAUAUACAGAAAAAGGUGGCAUGUUCAUAUCGCUUGUAUAUAGUCAUUUUGAAAAAUUAUUUACUUUAAUCAGUAAUUUUCCGUAAUAUUUUUAUUUGAGAUAUUAAACGUAUCUAAUGAUUUAAACAUUAAACUUUUCACUAUAGGUUUAGUCAUAGGGUCAAUAUCAAUUCCAAAAAAAUAAAUUAUUGACCCGAAUUUAAAAUUACAACAUGUUUGCUAUGUCAGUGUAGGAUGGUUAUUUUUUUUAUCUUUACUAGUAUUAAAUGUAAUUGUGACAUAGUUUUACAUAUCUAAUUAAUAAGUAUGUUUUAGAACGUGACAUAAUAUCUAUCUGUGUGCAAAACAACUGUGUGCAAAACAUCAUCUGACAUAAAGCGUGUGCAAAAAUCAAUUUCAAUCUAAUUACUAUGUUUUACGCAGUAACGUAUUGAUUUUGACAUGAGGCCAUCGAGAAGGGUCAGUAUGUUGUACGACAUACACUCUGGUUAUAAAAUGUAGUGAAAUCCUAGGAAUAAAUACAAAUAAAAUGUAGAAUGAUGUAAAUCGAUUAUAUUUUAUUUUCUGAUUUAAACCAUGUCUUUAUUAAGUUAAGCGAAACUAAAUAUUUAAAUAAUGACAUAUGGCAUACUUUUCACUAUGUCGGACCUCAGAUAACAUAGAUUUUGCACACGAAACUUUCUCAAAUGGUUAUAUAAAUAUCGACAUAGUACCAGACAACAACCAUUCUAUUUUAUAGCAUAUUAAGCAGACCAAUUUAAACGAACAAAAUGCCUGGACCUUGUAACUGCAUUGAAAGUAAGUAGCAAACAUAUAUUUAAAUUUUUAAUUGGAAAUCUAACUUGAAAUAUAACGUGGUUGAUUAUUGAACGGAAAUUUUAGUAUAUGAAAAAAAAAUUAUAAGUGCAUUUGAAAAAAAAUGAAAGAUAGAGGUUAUAAUAUAAAUGUACAUUCGUCUUCUUACUUUGACAACCUCCCGCUUCAUCUACUAAUUACUGCUAUACAACUAUUUAAUUUUCUGAGGGUGACCAGAAGUAUUGGUAGUUUUUGCGGAUUAAAUAUUCAUUUUCAUCUGUUUCUACGCACGCAAUUUUAUCACAGCCUUACCGAGGCAAAAUAUUCAUUUUCAAAAUGCUUCUGCCUCCUUCCGUAGAUCAAAUGAUCGCUGUCUCACCUAGAUGUCGUUGAUGGUCUGCGUGCAAUAUAUGUAAUUAUAACCUUGAAUAUUAAGGUAAACUGCCUGGUAACAAAUAUCAAAUAUUUGCCAUUUAUAGUGGAUUCAUUACUAUUCGUUGGAUACCAAUUUUCAUGGAUUUCGUGGGUAAAUUACGAAAUAAAAUGUUCAACGAAUGACAAACUUUAUACAGGCUUGUUUGCAUACCUCGGCAAUACAGGGCCGUAACUAGCCUCUUCUAAUAGUGAGGCAAAAUAUAUUUUGGCGAGGGGUCGGAGGGCCGCUCAAGGCCCCCUAAAGCUCUGAGAAAAAUAAGGCAAAAUCGUGCAUUCUGGACUCUUUCUGACAUUGAAACGCAAUUGAUUUUUAGCUAUUUUUGCGACAAUAUUCUGAUCUCAAAGCAAAAACUUAGAUUCAUUGUAAUUUACGACUUUUAGGUUUUAUGGACAACAUUAAAAGACCGAUAUGUAGGAUAAAGCAAAAAUCGUAGUUCUCAUAAUCAUUAAUACCGGAUCUGUCUGUCUGUUCUUGUCUUGUAUUGUGCUUAGACUUUGGUGAUUUUGUUAUGACUAAAUUUAAAUAUAGUGACAGUACAGUAUUAAACUUUAAGUACUAGUACUGCUUAAGUCGACACUAGGGAACAUCUUGACCCUGUUUUACGGUAUUAAUGAUUCUUUUAUUGUUGCGGAAGACCCUCCAGCAACUUUGACCAUUGACCAUUUGUAUUUUUAUCUAUGCAUUGACUUUGUUGUGCGAUUAGGUUUCGUGCACAUUUACUCCAUAUUCCUUUAUUUUCUGUUAAAGGGUCUGGACAUGACUUACUGCAAGUUUAACCCUUCAAUGGGAAAGGUCAUAUGGCAAUACAUUAUUGUUUUUUUUUUCAAAUUAUUUGAUACAGGGAAAAUUGGUGACCUUACUUUAAUUUAAAUCAUGUCAGCUAUCUAGUUUUAUAUACCAAAAUAAGGCCAGUUUUCUAUUCUUUGAUAUCAACUUCUCCAUGCAGAAAAGACAUUUUUUCUGUGUCUUAUAGCAUCGUAUAUUCUUAAAAUAUUAGCUCGCACAAUAUCGAUAUCUGGACAUCGGUGGGCAUGCAACAUUGCAAAACCACACGUUUACAAAUGAAAAUCAACACUCAGACUAUAGUCAUAAAGUAGAACAAUACAUGAACAAAAGACAAAUCCGGGACACAGAAGUACAAACAAUAGACCAUCAACUCUGAAAACUAAAAGUAAAAUAGAAACAUGGAUCACGAAAAACAUGCAAGGGCGACACCAAAGAGUGAAGAGGACUUGCUUUUUGCUAGACACUUUCCGUGAUAUUAAGACAAUCUUUUGUUUUAUUUAUUAAUUAUUAUUUUUUUUUAAUUUCGUUUUCAUUGAGGCAUUUGCCUCAUUUGCCUCAAUGUAGUUACGGCCCUGCAAUACCACGAAAUUAAGUGUUCACGAACAUACAAGUUUUCCUUUAUCCACGAACAUUGGUACCCACAAAAAAAAAAUGAAUCCACAAUAUAUAAUACAAGUGAAAGUUAAAAGAUUGAUUGUGAGUCAAUUGAAAUCACUAAUAUGGCUUUUUUACUUUAUGUGUAGCAAACGUGUGUAUCUGUGGUACUGGAUGCAGCGGGAAAUGUUGUCAAUGUGGAGACGCAUGUAAAUGUGCAAGUGGAUGCGGAUGUUCUGGAUGUAAAGUUGUUUGCAGAUGUCCUGGUUUGUUCAUUUUUACAGUCCACUUUUUUAAAUAUUCAUUUUAUUUCCACUUUUUUAAAUAUUCAUUUUAUUUAGAUAAUUUUAAUUUUAACAAACAUUUUUUUUUCAUUUUCAGUAACUGCUUUAAAUUGGAUAUGUGUAGAAAGUAAAACUAAAUGAUGAUAUGCUGAAUCAUUUCCCGUGUUAUUGUUUUAUUUAGUGCAUGUUUGCUUGUGUCUUGACCUUUAUUUCAGUAUGAAAAUCGUCAUAUUACAAAAUCCUACUUCAUUAACUAAUGAACCGACCAUUUUUUCCUUGUAAAGGAAAAAUUUACAAUUUUACUAAUAUCGAAACACAAGUUUCAGAAAGGAAGUUGAAAAUGAAAUAUUUUUACAUGCUUCUGUUUAUAUAUGUAUUUUUUUAAAUUAUGAAAAUACAUAGAUAUGGUUUGGUUUGUCACGAGCGAAGAUAGCAACAUUACCCGACAAUGAAUAAAUUGUCGGUACCUAAAAUUUUAUCAUGUACUAUAAACUGUUUCAAUAUUUGAAGUGAAAAUUGCAUAAACGGUCAAAGGUGAUUUUAUUUGCAUAGUCACUAAUAACAUAUUAUCGAUCCAUGUUUUUUUUUUCAAUAUGGCAACUUCUAAGAAACAUUGUUUCAAUUCUCACUAGCAUAAUCGAUCCAUCGCUCUUUAUAACAUCAAUCAUUGAAAUGUUUUGUUGUCUACAAUAAAACAUAUACUCAUUAUGUUAAAAUAUCUAUUCAAAUGAGUUGUUAUUAUGUUUCAGGUACGUGCGCGUGUGGAUGUGACUGUACUGGUCCAACAAACUGCAAAUGUGAAUCUGGGUGCUCUUGCAAGUGACAUAAAGACAAUUACAUCACGUUCAAUAUAGACAUACUUGUAACUCAUAUCAUUCAUAAAAGAUUGCGUGAUGUUCAUUGAUAUCAAAUAAAC
rnacentral:lncRNA from 1 species